GCAGGAUGCACACCCAGGUCCCUGACUCCACAGGCUGCCUCUCCCCUGGACUGUCCCUAGCAGGACUAGUGCCACGGGGGCCAUUUCUGCCAGAGAACUGCCUGAUCCUCUGCCCCUAGGAUGACACCCAGAGAGAGGGACGGAAGCUGUCUGUGAAAGAAUAAAAUAUGCAGUGGCGCAUGCCUGGAAUCCCAGUGGCUUGGGAUCCUGAGGCAGGAGGAUUGCAAAUUUGAGGCCAGCCUCGGCAACUUAGUGAGGCCGGGUCUUAAAAUAAGAAGGGCUGGGGAUGUAGCCCUGGGGUAGAGCACUGACUUCAAUCCUCAGUCACUCCCAUCCCCUGCUGUGCCAUCGGCACACACAAAACAAGGAAUAACACACUUGCAAUCUUCACCUAGGCACAGGCUUGCCGGCAGUGCCCUCAUAGACCAAGUGCCCGUCGUGAGCAGAGUCUCACUAAGGCUCCCCGGGCCUCCCAACAGCUCCCCAUCUCUCUUGCUCCUGGUUGUUUUUUUUUUUGGGGGGGGUACCAGGGAUUGAACUCAGGGGCACUGGACCACUGAGCCACAUCCCCAGCCCUAUUUUGUAUUUUAUUGAGAGACAGGGUCUCACUGAGUUGCUCAGGGCUUUGCUAAGUUGCUGAGGCUGGCUUUGAACUCACGAUCCUCCUGAGCUGCUGAGAUUAUAGGCCUCCUUCCUAGUCAAAGCCCUGCCCAUCUUCCUGCGAAUGCCAUUCCCUCAGGGCCCACCUGGCCACCAGCCCCACUGCUGGUGUCUCUGGCCACAUCUGCCUGGGCCAGGAGGGUGUGUACGGGGGUGGUGGGGUGUGGUCAGGUCCUCAGGUUCAGG
rnacentral:lncRNA from 1 species